rnacentral:rRNA from 1 species
AUGCAGGGCGCCGGCGCCGCCGAGGGGAGGAGCAGGGGCUCGCCGUCGACCAUGGACAAGGCCGACGAGAGCGCCAAGAAGGCGCGGCUGGACCUGCCCGACGCCCACUCCGUGAAGCAAGAGCUCGUCGCGCACGACGCGGCGGCCGGAGCAGGCGCCAUCGUUGCGGUGCCGGAGCACAGCCCCAGGGCGGAGCUCGCCGUGAAGAUCGACAUGUGCGUGCUCCACUGCCCGCUCUGCGCCCUCCCCUUCAAGCCCCCCGUCUUCCAGUGCAAGGGCGGGCACCUGGCCUGCGGCGGGUGCGCGGCCCAGCAGCCCUCCGGCCAGUGCGGGGCGUGCGCGGACGGCUGCGGCUUCUUCGACCCCUGCCCGGCGCUGGACGCCGUCGUGUCCUCCACCCGGGUCGAGUGCCCCAACGCCGGCUGCCAGAGGUACGUCACCUACCACGAGGCCGACGAGCACCGGGGCGCGUGCGCGCACGCGCCCUGCCGCUGCACGGAGCACGGCUGCGCCUUCGUCGGCGCGGCGCCGGACCUCGCCGGCCACCUCAGCGCCGCCCACUCCGUGCCGGUGCGCGCCAUCCGCUACGGCAAGGUGAGCCGGCUCCAGGUCCCCGUGUCCACGCCGCGGCAGCUGCUCGUCGGCGACGACGACGGCCGCGUGUUCGUGCUCACCGUGGGCGCGCUCGGCGCCGCGGCGACCGCCGUGUCCGUGGUUUGCGCCAGGGGGAGCGCGGCCACGAGGCCGCGGUUCACGUGCAAGAUGUGGGUCAAUCUGACCACGUCCGCGGCCGCGAACGGCGGCAAGGCGGACACCGUGCUGGUGGAGAUGCAGAUGAGGAGCAGCACCUCGCCCGGCGCCAUGGUCGCCGCCGGCGAGCCGACGUUCCUCGCGGUGCCGCCGGCGUACCUGGUCCCGGGAGCGGACGGGGGCGACGGGGCGGCGGGCAUGGAGGUGCCGCUCAGCGUCCGCAUCGACAAGAUCGCGCCUUGGUCCGACUGA